CAGGAUGAAUGGUGCACAUUUGAAUGUGGGGAUAACCCAAGUGAGAUUGCAGAAAAAAUAAUAUCUUUCGUCUGCUGAUCGCCUCCUGAUAUGUUCGUCUUAACCGGGCCAAGAUGUGCAACUUUCAACGAGUUUCGAGGCGCCAUUCAGGAAAAAGUGACGAGUUGAAGCAAAAGGAAAUCCACAACAACGGGGACGAUACGGAUAUGUUAAAAUAUCUCUGUCACGAAAUACGGGAUUGACGAGAUCGGCUAGUGAAUGUCCACUUUCCAGUUGAAGAAGAAAGUGGCGAUGUUUUUGUUGCUUGGCUGCUCCCCUUUACCUUACCCGGGAUAUGCUACGUAAAACCGGCUGGAACAUUUGUUGGUGUAAAAUUUCGAAAUAUCGCUGAACUUUCGGAUGAAGACUUGGGAUGAGAUGCUGUAUCGUUCCAAUAGUAGGAAAGAGGGAUGGUUAGGAACAAGCAUUUAAAAACGAUUGUUUUGAAAAAACGCCGAAGGAAAUUGGCGAAUUGUUGCUAUGAAAAGCUGUCCAUUUUAACCAAAAAAAAAACAACUUUGAGUUUCAUAAAAGAGGCAACAGCUGCUCAAGUUAACUCUCGGGCAAAGUGAGUCGACGUGACAAUUUGAUUGACUGCUGGACAACGUCAAACUUGACCGUUGGUGAGAG